rnacentral:tRNA from 1 species
GGCCUCGUAGCUCAGCUGGUAGAGCGUGCGAUUUGCAGAAGCGUAGGCUGCAUCCAUGCGUGCGUGGGUUCGAAUCCCUCCGAGGCUA